rnacentral:lncRNA from 1 species
GGCUGCAGUGCCUGAGUGGUGGGGGAAGCAGCCCACAGCACCCCUGAGGAGACUGCUUCCUUCCAGCAGAGGCCCACAAAGGAACGUUAACCCUUUCCCCUCCAAAGGCCUCAGAGUCCUUCCAUGCUUCUGUCCAAAGUGUGAUUGUGAAGUAUCAUCUUCCCUUUUGCCUCAUGUUUGUCAUUUCUCAUUACUGUUCCCUGCACCCCACCCCAAAAAAGGUAGAGAGCUCAGUGCCGGUGGAGUGCUACUGGUGCACUGUGCUGUUGUCAUGACAGCAAAGACAGGAAUGUGGUCAUGACAACAGGCUCACUGCCUCUGGUUCCAGAUGACUCAGCAGAAAUAAGACUUGGGGAGCUAGAGAAGAAUGGGCAGGCUUCAAGGACACCAUGAAUAGUGUGGCCUCCACCUAAAGGGCUAGACCAACUGCACACCUGGUAACAUAGUAAGGAACCCCUGGUAGGCACACCUUGUCUCUAUAGAGCUGGAGGGGAUCAUGAUCAACCAGGCCAGGCCAGUAGCUAGUCUUCAGGGAUGGGAAAGGGAAUGGGGCAGGGCAGGGAAUAUGGAGGAAAUCAACCUUUAGUCUAGAGCAGGGUUUCUCAGCCUGAGCACUAUUGACAUUUUAGGUCAAAUAAAUCUGUCUUUGGGAUUCCACCUCUUGGGUCCCCUUCUUCCUCCGGGAGAAGUCUUUUCUGCUGUCCUUUAAUAAACUUCUAAUUUCUAC